GAAGAGUUAGUAUAUGCCAUAUUACCUGUCCUUGUCAAGGACAAAAAAUAGAACUUAAACCCUAUACUCUUCC
rnacentral:tRNA from 1 species